UGGGGUGUGGCUCAGAGGUGGAGCGCUCGACUAGCAUGCGUGAGGCACUGGGUUCAGUCCUUAGCACCACAU
rnacentral:tRNA from 1 species